rnacentral:rRNA from 1 species
UACGAAGGGUGCAAGCGUUACUCGGAAUUACUGGGCGUAAAGCGUGCGCAGGCGGUUCGUCGUGUCCGAUGUGAAAGCCCCGGGCUCAACCUGGGAAUGGCAUUGGAAACUGGCGGACUCGAGUGUGGCAGAGGGGGGUGGAAUUCCGCGUGUAGCAGUGAAAUGCGUAGAGAUGUGGAGGAACACCGAUGGCGAAGGCAGCCCCCCUGGGUCAAGAUUGACGCUCAUGCACGAAAGCGUGGGG